rnacentral:rRNA from 1 species
ACGAGGGUUUAACUGUCUCCUCCCCCCAGUCAAUGAAAUUGAUCUGCCCGUGCAGAAGCGGACAUAAAAACAUAAGACGAGAAGACCCUAUGGAGCUUUAGGCUAAAGAUUCAAACACAUAAAGAAACUUCAUAAAACAAAAGAGAUAAAACAAAUUUAAACCCAGUGCCCAAAUGAUCACAUGCCUUCGGUUGGGGCGACCAUGGGGAAAAACAAAACCCCCAUAUGGAACGAGAACCCUCCUCCUCCAAACUAAGGAAAACACUUCUAAGUAACAGAAAAUCUGACCAAUCAUGACCCGGAACAAAUAAAUCCGAUCAAUGAACCAAGUUACCCUAGGGAUAACAGCGCAAUCCUCUCCCAGAGUCCCUAUCGACGAGAGGGUUUACGACCUCGAUGUUGGAUCAGGACAUCCUAAUGGUGAAGCCGCUAUUAAGGGUUCGUUUGUUCAACGAUUAACAGUCCUACGUGAUCUAGCC